CGUCGAGUUAGAAAAAUGUGGACGUGAAGCGUUCUCUACCAUCAGGACUAUACUGUGGACCUACGUGGCACGAGCUCCGCAUCAUUGGCAGGUUGCUUCCUCAACACGACCGGAGAUAUCAAUCUCCAAACUGCAAAGGAUAAGAUAGUACCUGUGGAGUGCAGACCAACAAAGAAAGACGAGAUAUGAGCCCAUGAUCCCAGAAGAUAGAAGACCCUCGUUAACCUUCUCGGCAAACAAAGAUAAAUUCAAAUCAUACAGCUUAUAUAUCUCAAGCAAUGUCAGGAGUUGAAAUAUCAGGGUUGUAUUUUGAUGCUCCUACCCAGAAGCUUACACUGGUUUCUUCAAUUCGACAAGAGAUGCUUCAGACACCAUUUUCACCUAGUCUGAAGCGCUAUAAAUGGCAUCUGCACUUGUUGCAAGUUCUAGUAUUUCAGGGUGGUCAGAGAAUCAAACAGCGACCAUCCCCAGCUGCCCCACUCCGGCCUUCUCUGGUGGUGCAUUAC